GCAGACGACGCGUUCUGAUUUGCGGUCGAUAGUGGCAAAUGCAAGUUAUAUAUUUCAGCUAACAGCCAUGAUACCGUGUCAGCGUCAGCCCCAGAUUUCUCAGGAUCUUACACUAGGAACGCCACCGUAAGGUCCCUCCGAGAAGGAAUACCUUCCUUGUGUAACUCGACAGACAAAUGACACAAUACCUUGCAUAGAAUACCCGAAUACCAAUACAAGCUACACAUGAUCUACCAGCUAUAUGGCCGUACCAGUCUAUGACUUUUGUUUGGUUGACCAAUCUAACGGCUUGGUAUAGAAUGCCCGGCCAUUAAGUGACUGGCAGAGAGAGUCUAUACUUUAUUGUAUGACAUACCAGGACACAGGGAAAUCUAGUAGCUAUAUCUAUAUCAGGCUGAUAUCAGGACUUCACAGAGUUUGGGCUGAAAGUUCCAGUCGUAUUUUUGGAUAGAGUUUCCCCACAGACUACUAUAAGAACAGCCACAAGAAGCAGGGCUAUUGUUCCUUGCUGUGGUGUACAUCAACCUACACCAGGGACUCUGCAGGACCCUGUCCAUCACGUCUGACCACUGUCAACCAUGUGGUGCUCCAUCUACGGAUGGGAGAAGAACUCACCUUCACAACCGUUCCCCUGGUGACAUCUGCACCAUCGCCAAUGAAUUCACCAUCAAAAUUGGCAUCCUUAGGCGGACUGUCAGAAACCAACUGGAUACACUUGUCAAUGGUUUGUUUGAUGGAGAUGCCGAUUACUUGGAGUGGCGUUACCAACAGAGACGACAUUUCCUACAGUGUGCUCCAUCAAGUGA